CGCCUCGCGCCCGCUUCAGGUGUAUGCUGGGAAGUGGCGCCUGCGCAGACGCGGGCUCCCGGGCCCGGUGCGGCGCCACACCGUGGGCGAAGCUGGUUAGUGCGUGUGGAGCGCGCGAGGCCGGGACGCCCGCCGGCCGGCCCACCCUCGCGCUCCUGCCUUCCGUCUAAGGCAAACGGAGCCCUCGAACGCGAACGGCGGGUCCAGCUGCUCCCCAGCCGCCGCAGGAAUGUGAAAACCCACGGCUGGAAUCGUGCUUUGACCCAGGCAGGCUCCUGGGCAGCUGAAGAUGGUCGUCAAGUCCCAGCGGAGCCCCUCGGCUUCCUGAGUGCUGGCAUUGUCCGCUUGUAAUGAGCACAGUGAAAGAUGCCUUUCGGACACGCAGAAAUAGCUUCGUCAGGAGCCCCCCACACCCAAGGCUGCACCUGAUGACCACAACCGAGUGGCGUCACUCAAGACGCAGUCCUGGACCCCAGGAUGCCCACGGACAGUCCGUAAGCAGAGCCCGAGAGCAGUGCUCUGCUCUGCACACCUAGAGAGAUGCCGCCGUGAUCUGCACAGCAGCCAGAGCAUCUCCCCCAAGAUCCUGACCCUGUUAGAGACUGGACCUGACCUUCAGCAAAGGUCCAUUGCGCAGGUGAGCAGCCUUGGGACUUCAGAGUGGACCUGUGUGCUGACAUCGGCAUGAUAAAUAUAACAUUUUUAUGCUAACUGUUCGCAUCUUCCUUCUCGCUCAGGACACCGCUGUGGGCCACCUCGCCAGCCCCCUGCUUUUUCUUUUUUCUUUUUGUUUUUCGAGACAGGGUCUCUGCGCGGCCCUGGCUGUCCUGGAACUAGCUCUGUAGACAGGCUGGCCUCCACCUUACAGACAUCCUCCUGCCUCUGCCUCUGGAGUUCUGGGAUUGAAACAGUGUGUCACCAUGCCCAGCAUGCUGCACAUUGUGUCUUCAGGUUCCCAUGCCCAGAAAGCACUGUAUCCACCGAGCCAUCUCCCCGGGCUUUCUGUUAUUUACUUUUAUUUUCUUGGCUGCUGGGCAUGGAAUCAGAGCUCAACCCUGAGCUGUCCCAGGGCAGCUGCUUUACCAAGCUGCCGAAAAACUCUGGUGCAUAAUGUCGAUGGUGAUAGUCCCCUGUGCCCCAACUGUGACCCAGGAGACUCCCUUGGCACCACUACCCAGGGCUCUGUGAGUGCUGGAAGUCUGCACUGUGUCUCAGAAGGAAGGGUGGAGGCCCUGAGCUCUGGCCCCACACCACCAAAAUUUAAAAUAUAAAUGAGUAAAUACUGGGGAAGUUGAGCGCAGUGGUACACGACUGUCAUCUCAGCACUGAGGAGGUGGAGGCAGGAGGAUCAGGCUAUCCUCGGCUACACGUGCAGUUCAAGAACAGCCUGGUCUCCAUGACUCCGUCUCCAAAAAGCAAAAGAGAAAUGUGGCAGGGGACCCACUGACCCCCUGUCUUAGGUUAGGGAUUCCCUGGCAGCCCAGAAUCUUGUGAGAUGGGGACCAAAUGAUUCGUGAUGUCUCCUGUGGGGAUGAGGAUCUGGGACACCCAGGGGAGAAGUACCCCAUGAUGGGGGCCUUGCACCCCAACAGCAAGGCCAGUGAAUUCCAGCAGUUGGUGUCAGCCUCCAUGGGGAGCCUGGGCUAGCUCACGCUCCUCCUAGUGGGCAGGAUCCUUGAGACCCGAGGUGCUGCUGGGAAUCUCACUGGGUCACGUCGGUGGAGCGACCAGGGCAGAGCUGCCUGAUGGCUACAAAGAGCAGUGUCUCAGCGCGCCAGAGGAAGCAAGGAGGAAAUCGCGGGCUGGGCCACCCCUUUCAGCCUCUUCUAGACUUUUCUCUGAACAGUCUUCUUUGCAGAUUUCCAAAACUCCCUUUCAAGCUUGAAAGCUCUGCUUGGGCGCCCCAUGUGGUGCGAUUGCGUCACUUCAGUUUUGUUAGAUAACCCCUUUUUCUGUUGUUUGUUUUUCCUGGACAACUGGGAUGAAACCUAGGCCUCACACAUAAGCCACACCCAGCCCCUCAAUACGGGAUUCUAAGCUGUCAGUCUACCUCUGAGCCACGCCCCCAGCCCCUCAAUACGGGAUUCUAAGCUGUCACUCUACCUCUGAGCCACGCCCCCAGCCCCCUCACUGGGGGAUUCUAAGACCCUGUCCUAACCUACUGAGCUUUUCACAAGCUUGCUUUUAGGGUAGUCGUAGGGGAGUCCUCUGAGUGGCCAGACCUGGGGCCUGUCUGCGUGAUGACCAGGAGGCACCUAACAACAGCCUCAGUUACCGCUCCUCACUGACUUCUUUGCGCUUCAGCUCACAAGACAAGAUGCAGGGAAGAGUUACCACAGCUGGCGGUGCAGAGAGCAUUGAAGUGUGGCCUGGGCUGCUGUGGCUGCGGCGCUUUGGAGCAAGUGCACACUCUGAGUGGAUGAUGCAAUGGAGGACAACAGAGUCACCCAGGUGGCUAGCAGUCGAGGAGCUUGCUACCAAGACUGAUGAGCUGAGUUCAAUUCCUAGUACACACAGAGUAGACCCCCUCCACAUUCUCCUUAACAAAAAUAUAAUAAUUUUGUUUACGUUUAAAAGAACAUUUUUUAUUGUCUUUAACUUUUAGAACUCUGUUUUGUAUUACUAUUGUAUGUCUUGUGGGCACACGUGGGGGAGGGUCCGUGUGCCAUGUGUGGCCUUCAGAGGCCAGCUGUGACGCCGGCCUCUCCUCCAUUACUCUCCAUCUCGCUUUUGGAGGAAGGGUCUCCCACCCAUUCUGAAGCUUGCCCGUCUGCCUGUCCAGCCAGUGCGCUCCUGGCGUCUCCCUGACUCCCCAAAGCUGGCCCAUGCAAGGCUGUGUCUGGUCUUUGAACUCAGCCUUUUGCUUGCACAGCCCAUGCUGUCACCCCACUGGGUCAUCUCCCCUGGGCCCCUGAACAAGCAGUGGGCACAGUGGCCCACACCUGUGUGUCUUAGUCACACCUGUUCUAUUGCUGUGACAAAACACUAUGACCACAGCAACUUGGGGAGGAAAGGGUUUGUUUGGCUCACACUUCCAUAUUGUUGUCCAUCACUGAAGGAAACCAGGACAGGAGCUCACACAGGGCAGGACCUGGAGGAGGAGCUGAUGCAGAAGCCAUGGAGGGGUGCUGCUUACUGGCUGGCUCAGCCGCUUUCUUAUGGAAGCCAGGACCACCUGCCCAGGGAUGGCACCACCUGGAAUGGGCUGGGCCCUCCCCCAUCAAUCACUAAUUAAGAAAAUGUGUUACUAGAGACCAGCCUGGUCUACAGAGUGAGUUCCAGGACAGCCAGGGCUACACAGAGAGACCCUGUUUCAAACCACCACCCCCACCCCCAAAAAAAGAAA